CCUACGGGUGGCAGCAGUGGGGAAUAUUGCACAAUGGGGGAAACCCUGAUGCAGCGACGCCGCGUGAGUAAAGAAGUAUUUCGGUAUGUAAAGCUCUAUCAGCAGGGAAGAUAAUGACGGCAUCUGCGUAAGAAUCCCCGGCUAACUACUUGCCAGCAGCCGCCGUAAUACGUAGGGGGCAAGCUUUCUCCGGAUUUACUGGGUGGAACGGGAGCGUAGACGGCAUGGCAAGUCUGAAGUGAAAGCCCGGGGCUCAACCGCGGGACUGCUUUGGAAACUGUUAAGCUGGUGUGCAGGAGAGGUAAGGGGAAUUCCUAGUGUAGCGGUGAAAUGCGUAGAUAUUAGGAGGAACACCAGUGGCGAAGGCGGCUUACUGGACUGUAACUGACGUUGAGGCUCGAAAGCGUGGGGAGCAAACAGGAUUAGAUACCCGAGUAGUC
rnacentral:rRNA from 1 species